rnacentral:rRNA from 1 species
GACGUAGGAGGCGAGCGUUAUCCGGAUUCACUGGGCGUAAAGCGCAUGUAGGCGGUUCGAUAAGUCCGCUGUUAAAGCCCCCGGCUCAACUGGGGGAGGUCAGUGGAGACUAUAGGACUUGAGGGCAACAGAGGCACGUGGAAUUCCCGGUGUAGUGGUGAAAUGCGUAGAUAUCGGGAGGAACACCAGUGGCGAAGGCGACUACCUGGCCCAUUCUUGACGCUGAGGCGCGAAAGCUAGGGAGCGAACGGG